rnacentral:rRNA from 1 species
AGAACGAACGCUGGCGGCAUGCCUAAUACAUGCAAGUCGAACGAACACCUCGGUGUUAGUGGCGCACGGGUGCGUAACGCGUGGGAAUCUGCCCUUGGGUUCGGAAUAACAGUUGGAAACGACUGCUAAUACCGGAUGAUAUCGAAAGAUCAAAGAUUUAUCGCCCAGGGAUGAGCCCGCGUAGGAUUAGCUAGUUGGUGAGGUAAAGGCUCACCAAGGCGACGAUCCUUAGCUGGUCUGAGAGGAUGAUCAGCCACACUGGGACUGAGACACGGCCCAGACUCCGUACGGGAGCAGCAGUAGGGAAUAGUUGGACAAUGGGCGCAAGCCUGAUCCAGCAAGUGCCGCGUGAGUGAUGAAGGCCUUAGGGUUAGUAAAGUCUUCGUUUAACCGAGUAUGAAUAAUGAACGUAGUACGUACGGGAAGAACGUAACGACCCCGGUAC